rnacentral:rRNA from 1 species
GUAGGUGGCAAGCGUUGUCCGGAAUUAUUGGGCGUAAAGCGCGCGCAGGCGGCUCUUUAAGUCUGAUGUGAAAGCCCACGGCUCAACCGUGGAGGGUCAUUGGAAACUGGAGAACUUGAGUACAGAAGAGGAAAGCGGAAUUCCACGUGUAGCGGUGAAAUGCGUAGAGAUGUGGAGGAACACCAGUGGCGAAGGCGGCUUUCUGGUCUGUAACUGACGCUGAGGCGCGAAAGCGUGGGGGGAGCAAACAGGAUUAGAUACCCUGGUAGUCCACGCCGUAAACGAUGAGUGCUAAGUGUUAGGGGGUUUCCGCCCCCCCCUUAGUGCUGCAGCUAACGCAUUAAGCACUCCGCCUGGGGAGUACGGCCGCAAGGCUG